AUCCUCAGGUUCAUAAGCGCGAUGAUUGGCUGUUCAUGCUCCAUGCACGACAUGUGCCUCCUUUGAAGCUUGUUACGACCUCGGGACAUUACCCAUCUGACG
rfam:Cavia porcellus supercont2_38 genomic scaffold, whole genome shotgun sequence.